UACGUAGGGUCCGAGCGUUGUCCGGAAUUACUGGGCGUAAAGAGCUCGUAGGUGGUUUGUCGCGUUGUUCGUGAAAACUCACAGCUCAACUGUGGGCGUGCGGGCGAUACGGGCAGACUAGAGUACUGCAGGGGAGACUGGAAUUCCUGGUGUAGCGGUGGAAUGCGCAGAUAUCAGGAGGAACACCCAUGGCGAAGGCAGCAUACUGGCCGGCAUCUGACGCUGAGGCGCGAAAGCGUGGGUAGCAAACAGG
rnacentral:rRNA from 1 species